GUCAGCAUGGUGUAGUGGUUUGAACGUCGGACUACGACUCUGGAGACCAGGGUUCAAAUUCCUGCUUGGCCA